rnacentral:rRNA from 1 species
AAUCAACGCUGGCGGCGUGCCUAACACAUGCAAGUCGAACGCGAAAGCCCCGCAAGGGGUAAGUAGAGUGGCAAACGGGUGAGUAACACGUGGGUGACCUGCCUUCGAGUGGGGGAUAACGUCCCGAAAGGGACGCUAAUACCGCAUGACAUCCUGCUCUUGGACGAGCGGAGAUCAAAGCUGGGGAUCGCAAGACCUGGCGCUUGAAGAGGGGCCCGCGUCUGAUUAGCUAGUUGGUGAGGUAACGGCUCACCAAGGCGACGAUCAGUAUCCGGCCUGAGAGGGCGGACGGACACACUGGGACUGAGACACGGCCCAGACUCCUACGGGAGGCUG